CACGUAGGGUGCGAGCGUUGUCCGGAAUUAUUGGGGGUAAAGAGCUCGUAGGCGGUGUGUCGCGUCGGCCGUGAAAACUUGCAGCUUAACUGUGGGCGUGCGGUCGAUACGGGCAUCACUGGAGUUCGGCAGGGGAGACUGGAAUUCCUGGUGUAGCGGUGAAAUGCGCAGAUAUCAGGAGGAACACCGGUGGCGAAGGCGGGUCUCUGGGCCGAUACUGACGCUGAGGAGCGAAAGCGUGGGGAGCGAACAGG
rnacentral:rRNA from 1 species